CUAAGAGAAAGAAAAUUUUAAAUUAAGUAAUGUUAUCUUAACUCUUCCCUUGUUUUCUUAAAUGUUUUUUGGGGGUUUAGCUCAGUUGGUUUAGAGCAUCGGCUUUGCAAGCCGGGGGUCAAGGGUUCGAAUCCCUUAGCCUCCAUUUAUUCAUUGUGAAAGUGUAUAAGUUUUACCUUUAAAAUAUAUUAUAAUCAAAAUAUUUGUAAUAUCGUUUAGUAACAUUUAUUAUGAUAGGAAUAAAUGUACUUAUAUUGUUAUGCUUAUUUGAGCUUGCAUUUUCUAUUCUUUUUAAGAAUUGCUUUUUGCAAGCUUAAAAUCUUAAUUUAAUUAAAAAACCAAUUAUAUUUAAUAUUCAACUUACCUAAUCAUAAAGAAACUUAAUUUUAUUGGGAUCAGGAGGAGUUGAACC
rnacentral:tRNA from 1 species